rnacentral:rRNA from 1 species
AUGUCCUCCUACUCGUCCCUCCUCUCCGUGAGCCCCGGCGAGCAGAUCGGUGGGUAUGCGGACGGAGGUGACCACGACGACAUGGCGGCCGCCGCCAACUACCUAUCAUCAUUCUGCUUUGAUUUCGGCGAGGAGUAUUAUUCCCUGGCGGAGGCAGCAACAGCCUCCUACCCCUUGCACGCACAGCAGCAGCAGCAGCCGCCAACCCAGGCCGACAGCCACCACAGCGGCAAAGCAGCAAGUACUACUAGUAGUUCACAAGGACUCGACAAUAUCAACACGAGCUUGACCAGCAGCGACGCGAGGAGCAAAGGCAGCAAGAUCGCGUUCAAGACGAGGUCGGAGGUGGAGGUGCUGGACGACGGGUACCGCUGGAGGAAGUACGGCAAGAAGAUGGUCAAGAACAGCCCAAACCCAAGGAACUACUACCGUUGCUCCAGCGAGGGGUGCCGCGUGAAGAAGCGGGUGGAGCGGGAUCGCGAUGACGAGCGCUUCGUCAUCACCACCUACGACGGCGUCCACAACCACCUUGCGCCACUGCCGCCGCGGGGAUGCGCCGGAUACUCGCUAUCGCUCGCGCAGACGCGCGUGGACGAGGGGUCGUCGCCGCUACCCGUGCAAGGCCGCCGUUGCUUUCUUGACACCAUGAAGAUGCAGGCCGCCGGUAGCGUGAUAUCUGACAAUUGA